GUGAAUCAUCGAAUCUUUGAACGCAAAUUGCACUCUCUGGUAUUCCGGAGAGUAUGCCUGUUCGAGGGUCAUUUCAAAUAAAAAUCUGUGUGGUUUCUGCCUUUCGUGCUGAUGGACUGGUUGUGGGUCGUGUUGCCUUCGGUUAAGGGACGUAAAGUUGUGCAUGAUUUUUUCGAACGUAUUUAAAUGAUUUUACGUACUUCUGCGGUGUCGAACACUAGGUGCGGUAAUCCUCAUGAUUCGCGCCAAUA
rnacentral:misc_RNA from 1 species